rnacentral:rRNA from 1 species
AUUGAACGCUGGCGGCAGGCCUAACACAUGCAAGUCGAGCGGAUGAAGGGAGCUUGCUCCUGGAUUCAGCGGCGGACGGGUGAGUAAUGCCUAGGAAUCUGCCUGGUAGUGGGGGAUAACGUCCGGAAACGGGCGCUAAUACCGCAUACGUCCUGAGGGAGAAAGUGGGGGAUCUUCGGACCUCACGCUAUCAGAUGAGCCUAGGUCGGAUUAGCUAGUUGGUGGGGUAAAGGCCUACCAAGGCGACGAUCCGUAACUGGUCUGAGAGGAUGAUCAGUCACACUGGAACUGAGACACGGUCCAGACUCCUACGGGAGGCAGCAGUGGGGAAUAUUGGACAAUGGGCGAAAGCCUGAUCCAGCCUUGCCGCGUGUGUGAAGAAGGUCUUCGGAUUGUAAAGCACUUUAAGUUGGGAGGAAGGGCAGUAAGUUAAUACCUUGCUGUUUUGACGUUACCAACAGAAUAAGCACCGGCUAACUUCGUG